rnacentral:lncRNA from 1 species
AGCUCCACAGAAUGGACACACAGAAGAGGAGAAAGAAGAUGAACCUAACGAGGAGAAAGAAGAUGAACCUUGCGAGGAGAAAGAAGAUGAACCUAACGAGGAGAAAGAAGAUGAACCUACAGAGGAGAAAGAAGAUGAACCUACAGAGGAGAAAGAAGAUGAACCUACAGAGGAAAAAGAAGAUGAACCUAAAGAGGAGUCUGAGCAGCCUAAGCCUGAGGAUAAUGAUUGCCAGUCUUUGGUGGGCCAAGAACCUGUCGAAGAGCCUCCUGAGACAACCACUAAAGAAACAGUUCCUGAUGACUAUGAGAAAACUGAUGUUGGAAGUGCUGAA